rnacentral:rRNA from 1 species
GAUGAACGCUGGCGGCAGGCCUAACACAUGCAAGUCGAACGAGUGGCGGACGGGUGAGUAAUGUCUGGGAAACUGCCCGAUGGAGGGGGAUAACUACUGGAAACGGUAGCUAAUCCCGCAUACCAUCGGAUGUGCCCAGAUGGGAUUCGCUAGUAGGUGGGGUAACGGCUCACCUAGGCGACGAUCCCUAGCUGGUCUGAGAGGAUGACCAGACACACUGGAACUAAGACACGGUCCAUACUCCUACGGUAGGCAGCAGUGGGGAAUUUUGCACAAGGGGCGCAAGGCUGAUGCAGCCAUGCCGCGUGUAUGUAGAAGGCGUUCGUGUUGGAAAGUACUUCCAGCGGGGAGGCGUUGCUCGCUGAAGAAGCACCGGCUAACUCCGUGUCAGCAGCCGCGGUAAUUC